CCCUUAGAUGUUCUGGGCCGCACGCGCGCUACACUGAUCAGUGCAACAAGCAUCCGUCCUUGGCCGACAGGCCCGGGCAAUCUUUGAACGCUGAUCGUGAUGGGGAUAGACUUUUGCAAUUUUUGGUCUUCAACGAGGAAUUCCUAGUAAACGCAAGUCAUCAACUUGCAUUGAUUACGUCCCUGCCCUUUGUACACACCGCCCGUCGCACCUACCGAUUGAAUGGUCCGGUGAAGCCUCCGGAUUGGCGUGCGCCCUCGGGUGCUGCCGAGAAGUUGGCUAAACCUUACCAUUUAGAGGAAGGUGAAGUCGUAACA
rnacentral:rRNA from 1 species